GACGAACGCUGGCGGUGUGCCUCAUACAUGCAAGUCGAACGAUAAGGCCCUUCGGGGUACAUAAGUGGCGGACGGGUGAGUAACACGUAGGAAAUCUACCCUAAGGAGGGGGAUAACACCGGGAAACUGGUGCUAAUACCCCAUAUGUGGCAGGCUGAAAUGCCUGUUAUGAAAACUCCGGUGCCUUAGGAUGAGCCUGCGCCUGAUUAGCUAGUUGGUAGGGUAAAGGCCUACCAAGGCGAUGAUCAGUAGCUGGUUUGAGAGGAUGAUCAGCCACAAUGGGACUGAGACACGGCCCAUACUCCUACGGGAGGCAGCAGUAGGGAAUUUUGCGCAAUGGGCGAAAGCCUGACGCAGCAACACCGCGUGAGCGAUGAAGCCCUUUGGGGUGUAAAGCUCUGUCAGUGGGGACGAACAAAUGACGGUACCCACAGAGGAAGCAUCGGCUAACUACGUGCCAGCAGCCGCCGUAA
rnacentral:rRNA from 1 species